rnacentral:tRNA from 1 species
CAGAAAAUAGUUUAUUUAAAAUAUUAGUUUUGGAGACUAAUGAUAAGGAAGCUCCUUUUUUCUGA